GUAUGUUCCAAAAAAAUCCGACCACCCUUUUCAAAUAAAAAUGCCCCCUAUUGUCAAAUAGCACAAUUGUAUCGAGUUUAAGGCCAAAUUAAGCAAAUGGUAAAAUGUGGAAAACCAUGUAAGAAAUUGCCAUGGAAACGAGACACCCAUCAGUGAGCUCGCAUCCUUACAUCAGUGUGUGCUGGGAAUACUUGCCGUUAGGCAUAGCAAAGAAUUUAACAAAGUUUUACCAUUUUUUUACUCUACUGGUCUACGCGAGACAGAGUAAAGGAAUGGAAAUCUCGUUUCUAUGGCAACCAGACAUUUAUUUUAGGUCGAUUUGCUCAACCCCCAAAACAAAAGAAUAUUUUUAUUAUAUCAUUAUUAAAUUAUAAUAAUAUAAUUUAAAUUACUAUUUAUAAAAACUUUUUAACUGAAAUAAAAUAAUAUAUAAUUUCUAUUUAUGAAUAUUAGAUUUAUUUAUUACAAUAGUAAAUUAUUAGGCAUUCUUUUGUUUUGAAACGUUUUCAUUAAAAGAAUACUUAAUAAGUCACUAUUAUAAUUAAUAUAUUUAAUAUAUAUUAUUAAUUCCAAUUGUUAUUUUUUAAUAAGUUGUGAUUUAUAUUAUAUUAUUAUAAUUUAAUAAUGAUAUAAUUAAAGUAUUCUUUUGUUUUUGUUGGUUAAGCAAAUCCGCCUACAACAAAUGUUUGGUUGCCAUAGAAACAAAACUUCCAUUCCUUUAGUCUGUCUGGCGUAGACCAGUAGAGUAAAAAAAUUAUAAAACUUUGUAAAAUUCUUGGCUAUGCCUAACGGCAAGUAUUCCCAGCACACACUGAUGUAAGGAUGCGAGCUAACUAAUGGUUGUCUCGUUUCCAUGGCAAUUUCUUACAUGGUUUUUCCACAUUUUACCAUGUGCUUCAAUUUGGCCUAAAACUCGAUGAAAUUGUGCUAUUUGACAAUAGGGGGCAUUUUUAUUUGAAAAGGGUGGUCGGAUUUUUUUGGAACAUACUGUACAUGACUCAACCAUGUUUAAAAUGAGUGGGCUGGGGCUACAAUAUGAUCUGGGGGAAUUUGGUGAAGGAUUUCUUUUGGGCGACAGCGGUUAUGGUUGCACCCCAUACCUUAUCACGCCGUUCAACAUUCCUUCCAACGAUGAAGAAGUAAAAUUUAAUCGGUCUCACAAAAGAACUCGAUGUGUAAUUGAAAGAGCUUUUGGAACCGUGAAACGCAGAUUUUAUUGUUUACAUGGCGAGAUAAGAGUCCAAUCUCAACGUACAUGCAAAAUUAUAUAGGCCUGUUUUGUUUUAAGCAAUAUUGCUUUAUCAAGAAAACAACCGGAUUUUGAGGAUGACAUCGAAGAAGGCGAAUUGUUUUAAUGCAUGAUGCCUAGGAAAAACGCGCCUGAACCUUCCACUCAACAAGAUGCUAGAGCUCGAAGGCUUGGCUUUGAAAAGAGAAGAAGAAUUGCUAAGAAUG